CCUGUAGCUCAGCUGGAUAGAGCAACGGCCUUCUAAGCCGUGGGUCGGGGGUUCGAAUCCCUCCAGGCG
rnacentral:tRNA from 1 species